rnacentral:rRNA from 1 species
AUUGAACGCUGGCGGCAGGCCUAACACAUGCAAGUCGAACGGUAACAGGAAGCUGCUUGCUGCUUUGCUGACGAGUGGCGGACGGGUGAGUAAUGUCUGGGAAACUGCCUGAUGGAGGGGGAUAACUACUGGAAACGGUAGCUAAUACCGCAUAACGUCGCAAGACCAAAGAGGGGGACCUUCGGGCCUCUUGCCAUCGGAUGUGCCCAGAUGGGAUUAGCUAGUAGGUGGGGUAACGGCUCACCGAGGCGACGAUCCCUAGCUGGUCUGAGGGGAUGACCCGCCACACUGGAACUGAGACACGGUCCAGACUCCUACGGGAGGCAGCAGUGGGGAAUAUUGCACAAUGGGCGCAAGCCUGAUGCAGCAAUGCCGCGUGUAUGAAGAAGGCCUUCGGGUUGUAAAGUACUUUCAGCGGGGAGGAAGGGAGUAAAGUUAAUACCUUUGCUCAUUGACGUUACCCGCAGAAGAAGCACCGGCUAACUCCGUG